ensembl:ncRNA T10B10.15 ncRNA
AGCAAAACACAGAUUUUUCGUUCAAACGUCGUUCAAUAAUUCAGCGCUCGUUAACUUGUCUUCUCUUGUUUCCGACGCGGGAAACAAGUAAUCUAAUACCCGUCUCCACGUUCUCUGUCAUGUGCUGAUCAUCG